GUCUCUACAACCUCUCUAACAAAGAGAACAUCUUUGGAAGAGAAAUCUUUUACUUAUUGGAGAAAACCUCUCCGUCUCUCUGUUCUUGCACUUCCUGAUCGAUCAAAAUCGCAAAUUUGGGUUUGGUGUCUCAAUUUCCGUUCGAAUUUGGGUUUGGUAUCUCAAUUUCCGAAAUUGAAUCAUCUGCUCGGCGUAAGUCGUUCAUCCAAUCUUAAUUUUCUAGAAUUACUUGUUUAAAUUAAGUUAUUAUUUCUCAAUUUCAGAAAUUGCAAAAUCUCAUGUAAUGCCAUUCAUCCAAUCUUAAUUUUCUAGAAUUACUUGUUUAACUUAAGUUUUUAUUUCUAAAUUUUAGAAAUUGCAAAUUCUCAUUGUAAUUUCUGUUGAAUCGAUAAAAAUCGCAAAAUUACUUGUUUAACUUAGGUUUUUAUCAUCUUAAUGUUUGUCCAAUCUUUUCUAUAAAAUUUCAUGUUUUAUAGCUUUUGAUAAACACUUUGAAUUCCUAUCUGAUAUCUUAAAAGGGCGUAGAAAGGCGUUAGUUUCUCUUGUGAUCAACUACACUCUAUUAGUGUAUCUAAGAUGAGAAAGUGAGUAGCUUGAGAAAUCUGCUUUCAAAUUACAGAUUCAUUAUCCACCUUAGCUGAUAUGUAGAUUCAUCAAUCUGCUUGCUAUAGAUAUAGACGUAUUUAUAGUCACGAUAUGAACAGUUAGGAUAGCUGAUUUUCUUAAUGUUUUUGAAUCGUAUUGCUGUUCCAAGUUACAAAUUCAUGGUAUUGUAGGUCAUGUUUGUGAUGCUCUAUCGGUUGAUCCCUGGUCUCGCUGCUGCC
rnacentral:lncRNA from 1 species